CUCCAAGUACACUCUAACAGAGGGACCCACCGCCUCAGUACACUGGCAAGACCUUUCCAGAAUCCAGUCUUUGCAAACCUCCAAAGCACAAGGCCAGGAGACAAUACUUCACUCCUUUGGCUUCACAUUAAAAUCCAAAAAGGUAUGUCUCUAAGAGUCUACUCACUCUGCAUUAAAUCCAUUACAUGCAUCCAUUCGUCCAUAGUCUUUAAAAUGAAUGAAUGUGGGGCUGGACUUGUUUUCCUUGGCAUAAAAUCCAUCCAUUGGAGUCACAACCCCAGUGCUCCACUGUGUUCAAUGAGCAACAGGUUCUUAAAACAUAGCUCAAAAUGCAUGGUUUACUCGAUGCGGCACAAUGAUGCUGUUCAGUGUGUUCAAAAGCUUAAUACUCAAAAUGUGUGUGUUUUUUUUUCUUUUUUCUUAAAUCAGUCAAAUCCUCAGAUGAUUCACGCCUCCAGAAACAGCACUUGAACAAAGUGCCUACAAACUGAAUGGUUCAUCAACUGGACUACUGAAACAAAGGAAAACCCUGACAUCAUAGUCAAUAUGAAUAGUAAAUUGAAAGUCUGAGGCCCUGAGGUUUACGAGGCAGAGAGAGGUGCGGGAGGCGAUACGAGAACACUCCCCCCCCCCCCACACACCC
ensembl:lncRNA